rnacentral:rRNA from 1 species
GCGGGCAUCUUCGGGUGUCAGCGGCGGACGGGUGAGUAACGCGUGGGAACGUGCCCUCUGGUUCGGAAUAACUCAGGGAAACUUGAGCUAAUACCGGAUACGCCCUUUUGGGGAAAGGCUUGCUGCCGGAGGAUCGGCCCGCGUCUGAUUAGCUAGUUGGUGGGGUAACGGCCUACCAAGGCGACGAUCAGUAGCUGGUCUGAGAGGAUGAUCAGCCACACUGGGACUGAGACACGGCCCAGACUCCUACGGGAGGCAGCAGUGGGGAAUAUUGGACAAUGGGGGCAACCCUGAUCCAGCCAUGCCGCGUGAGUGAUGAAGGCCUUAGGGUUGUAAAGCUCUUUUAUCCGGGACGAUAAUGACGGUACCGGAGGAAUAAGCCCCGGCUAACUUCGUGCCAGCAGCCGCGGUAAUACGAAGGGGGCUAGCGUUGCUCGGAAUCACUGGGCGUAAAGGGCGCGUAGGCGGCGUUUUAAGUUGGGGGUGAAAGCCUGUGGCUCAACCACAGAAUUGCCUUCGAUACUGGG